UUCACUGUAGGAUAAGGUAGUAGAUUGUAUAGUUCUAGGGUCACACCCAUCAUUGGAAGAUCACUCUAUACAAUCUACUGUCUUUCUCAGAUGGU
rnacentral:pre_miRNA from 1 species